CCUACGGGUGGCAGCAGUGAGGAAUAUUGGUCAAUGGUCGGGAGACUGAACCAGCCAAGCCGCGUGAGGGAUGAAGGUACAGAGUAUCGUAAACCUCUUUUGUCAGGGAACAAAGGCGGGGACGUGUCCCCGGAUGAGUGUACCUGAAGAAAAAGCAUCGACUAACUCCGUGCCAGCAGCCGCGGUAAUACGGAGGAUGCGAGCGUUAUCCGGAUUUAUUGGUGUUAAAGGGUGCGCAGGCGGUUGGUUAAGUCAGCGGUAAAAGCCCGGGGCUCAACCCCGUACCGCAGUUGAAACUGGCAGUCUCGAGUUGGAGAGAGGUAUGCGGAAUGCGCGGUGUAGCGGUGAAAUGCAUAGAUAUCGCGAAGAACUCCGAUUGCGAAGGCAGCAUGCCGGCUCCACACUGACGCUGAUGCACGAAAGCGUGGGUAUCGAACAGGAUUAGAUACCCUUGUAGUC
rnacentral:rRNA from 1 species